GCGCUGGCUCCGCCCAAGGCGACCCGCGGGAGGGGUUGCCGCCCUCAGAAGAUGGCGGACGGCGAGGCAGCUCCCGCGCAGCAGGAAGGGGAAAUGUCGGCGGCCGGCCCGGGCGUCCGGAGGGAGCGGCAGCACCGCGGCGGCGGUCGUCCGCCCAGCGCGCGAGAUUUACAGUUGGCCUUGGCAGAAUUGUAUGAAGAUGAAGCUAAAAGGCAGUCAUUGCGUCCUGACAAACCAACGACAACAAAGAUGAGUAACUCAAAGGGUCUUAAAAUAGAUUCUUUCAGAAGCUUAAGAAAACCGGAGAGAAGCAUGAGUGAUGAUAAAGAAAACCAAAGAUUUUAUUCAGGUGACUCAGAAUACAGCGGAUUACAAAUUUCUGGGGCUUCUAACAAUCCGAGUAAAAUUGUUGCUGAACUCUUCAAAGAAGCAAAAGAACACGGGGCUGUACCACUAGAUGAAGCCUCAAGAACAUCUGGUGACUUCAGUAAAGCUAAGUCAUUUUCUGGUGGUGGAUAUAGAUUGGGUGACUCGUCUCAAAAGCACUCUGAAUAUAUAUAUGGAGAAAAUCAAGAUGUUCAAAUUUUGCUGAAACUGUGGAGGAAUGGCUUCAGUUUAGAUGAUGGAGAAUUGAGAUCCUAUUCAGACCCAAUAAAUGCUCAGUUUCUUGAGUCUGUUAAAAGAGGGGAAAUUCCUGUGGAACUGCAGCGACUUGUUCAUGGUGGCCAGGUUAACCUGGAUAUGGAAGACCACCAGGAGCAGGAAUACGUGAAGCCAAGGCUGCGAUUCAAAGCUUUCAGUGGAGAAGGGCAAAAGCUUGGAAGUCUUACACCUGAAAUAGUCAGCACACCUUCAUCUCCAGAGGAGGAGGACAAAUCCAUUCUUAACGCACCUGUUCUGAUUGAUGAUUCUGUUCCAGCAACUAAAAUUCAAAUCAGAUUAGCUGAUGGAAGCCGAUUAAUACAAAGAUUUAAUCAAACACACAGGAUUAAAGAUAUUCGAGAUUUCAUUAUCCAGUCCCGUCCAGCAUUUGCAUCAACUGAUUUUGUUCUUGUGACGACUUUUCCAAAUAAAGAGCUAACAGAUGAAAGCCUGACACUACGAGAAGCAGAUAUACUUAACACUGUGAUUCUCCAGCAAUUAAAGUAAUCUUAGAGCUGUUGCUAACAGAAGCAGUAUGUGCUGUAUUGUCAUACAAUGUUUUCAAUAGAUGAAAAAAAGAAGGAUCGAUGUCUUUAUUCUUCCACUUCCAUAGAUCAGAUUUUUAGGUUUCAUGUCUUCCAGCUAUAGCGUGUCUUAUUUUAAUUACUCAGCAUUGUUUAACCCCCUUUCAGUGUUAAAUUGAGCUUCCCUUUGUUAGUAUGUUUCAAACAAUGCCAUGUAUGAGAUGUGAGCUAUCACUCUUCAGUGUUUUAUGGAGGGGGGUGGGAGAGGAGGUGAAGAAUUUUUCUGGAGGGGACAAUGUAUUUCACACAGUUGGUAAGAUUUGCACUAUGGAAAUGUUUUAUGCUGCACUGACAAACAGCCAUGUGAAAAAAACGUAGCCUGUAGGUUAUGUUUACCUUCCAAGCUGUAUUAUCAUUAAGGUAUUCUGUUUGAUAGGUUGACAGAUAAUUAAUGCUGUAUUAUAAGUUUUGUAUAUUCUGUUUCUAGUGUUUCAUGGUGUAGUAUAAUUAUUUAUAUUCUAAUUCUUAUGUAAAUAUCCUUAUAUUGUUGUUUUGAGGGGAUCAGUAUCAGGAGAUGCAAAGCUCAGCUCUUGCAGACUAUAACAGUGUUCUAAUUUGUAUUCUGGUUGUUCUACUUGUGGUGUAAAUUAAGUAUGAAUUUCUUUUCUUCUGAAGUUAGGGAAAUGAGAAGGACUACUGUCAUCUGAAGAACUGCUGUGAUGUAGACUUUGUGAGGCUAACACAAGGCACAAAGCUGUUCUUGGAAUGAAGAUCUAUGUGAACGUGUAACUAAGACUGGCUACAGGGAAGAAGGGAGUAUGAAAACAGAACUGGUGGAAGAUCUCUUACAGAGCAAGGCUAUUGAGGUAUUUGGAAGUUCCUUUUAGCUUCUGUGAAAUACAAGUGAUAAUGCUAUCACACCUCUAGGCAGCUUAUGAAAGGCUCAGGCUUGACCUUUGCUUGCCUUUUACAGAAAUCCUUUAUCACACAAGACCCAAACAAUCCAAAAGUAAAUGUUUUCUGUUGAAAACCUGGGCUUGAAAGCUUGUGCUUUUUUUGGACACCACUACCAUUUUUGUAAUCAUUUAUUCUGGGCAAACAUAAUCAGGCUUGUUGGUUUGGAUGUUUUUUCAGCAGCAUUUUGAGAAGUUUGUAAACAUUCUGCCUUAAUCUGACUAGUGGUUGCACUUGUUGUGUAUGCUAACAACUAGAUCGUGCUGUUCUCACUCUUAAUGCAAAUCUUUCUUAAUAUUAAAUGAACCAAGUAAGAGCUUCUAAGUGCUCAGAGGUGCAGUUUGCAGCUCCUGCUUAGUUGCUUGCACUAAGGGAAAGCUCCCACGAUCUUUAAAUGGCAUUGUUCUGCAGGAGGAUCAGACUGUUCCUUCUCUUUGCUUGUGCUGUUCAAGCCUGUCAGGCCUCAGCCAAGGCAUGUGCAGUUCUAUGGGCAGAUGAGGCAGUGAAUGGCAAGAGUAUAGAAUAAUAAGGAUUGAAAUGAUGUCACACAGAGAGCAGUGAGCUUGUGUUAUUUCUGUGAGUUGUAUAUUGUUGGAGUGGGGUUUCGAAAAGUUUAAGACUAGGAUUUUUCAGCUGAUGUUCAGCUGAUCAUCAACUGUUUGAAGUUAAACUUCAAAAACCCAAUGAUUAAUGCAGUGAUAAAUGGCAGUAGGCAGCAAUUGUGUUGAACACUUAGUGAAUUAUAGCAAUCAGAUCAAACUGUAUCCUUAAUGCAGCUAAAUGUUGAGGUAUGAAUCUGGAACUAACUGUGGAAGGCACGAAUAGUCUAGAAAGUACUGACCCUGAAAAGGAGAUGGAUGACAGCAAGAAAAAAAUUCAGCAGAACUGCCCCUACUCCUCUGAGGUUUAUGGAGUUUUCUUUAUGGCUGGGAGAUUACUUUUAUCCAUAUGUUUGUUAGUAGUGAACUCAAUACUUCUAUGGUGCUUGUCUUGCUGAAGAGCUUUGGAAUUAGGAAAAUAAGUAGAAAUAAUUUAAGAGCUGAAGAAAUUACCUUAAAGCUCAAAACAGGGUAGCUUAUUGGGUAGAAGACGGAGAGCUGAGCUGAUUUACAGAGGGCAUUCAUUCAGGGGGUGGGAUUAUAGUAUUAUAGGGCUCUAGUAGAAAAAAAGCAUAAUGAAAAUUAGAAUCUUGUACAGAGAUGGAAGAUCAGAUAUUUUUGAAGAGAAAUUAAAACACAUUCUUUAAUAUAUGAACUACUGCAACGAAUCCACUUGAGAAUCAACUGCUAUUUUAAUUCUCAUUGUUAUGGUGGUUUUCUUUAAGAUUUGGUUACAAACACAGUAUGUAUGGGUUUUUUUACUGUGACAAGAUAGAAUGAAAUGGUUUAGUAUUUGAAGAGCAGUUUAUUUGGCUUUUGGCUUGUGAUACUUGCAAUUAAUAGUUUGUGAUGGCUGUUUCAUGCUAACUACUUCACUGUGCAUCUUCAAUAUUUCCAUUAAGAAAAGCUGGACAUGAGGCAGCAGUGUGUCCUUGCAGCCCAAAAGGCCAGCUGUAUCCUAGAGUGCAUCAGAAAAGGGGUGCCCAGCAGGGAGAGGGAGGAGAUUGUUCUCCCUCUACUCUGCCCUUGUAAGACCCCUACCUGGAGAACUGUGUCCAGGCUUGGGGCACCUAGUACAGGAAGGGUGUGGAGCUGUUGGAAUGGGUCCGGAGAAGGCCAUGAAGAUGAUCAGAGGGCUGGAGCA